rnacentral:lncRNA from 1 species
AUCAGUGAAGCCACUCUCCUCCCUCAUUAUCAUCUCAUGAUACUCACAAUCCAUCAGUAAAAAAUUCUAUUUCUUCUAAUGCCAAGUUCUCUGUACGAUCUUUGGUAGCUCAACAUUCCAAGUCCAAGCGCAUUAUCGCGUAUCCAAGCCCAAACCCAAAUUACGGGAGGACCACCACCAUGACGCUCCUUUCGGCAACAAAACCACCAAACAACAAAAAUGGUGACCGCCUCAGUAACUUGAUUCGUCAGGAUCUCUUUUUCUUGAAAGAGGCCUUAGAAGAGGAGAAGAAAUACAUGGAGAACU